UACUGCUUAGUUAAUUUCAUGUUUCAGAUGUUAGUAAAAUGUGCCACUCUGUGGCCCCUUUAAGUCGAUAUUUUAUGACAGUAGAAGAAGAGUUAGACAGGAAGUGGAUGUUUUCUUGCUAUGCUGUUUCAAGAUGGCCGCUCCACUUUCAUCUCCUUCUUUUGGGUGUUUGUUAAAGCAUAGUCUUUUCACAAAAUGAAAGAACCAGUAAACUUCAUAAGAUCUCAUCUAUUGUCUGGAGUUCCUGGGUUCAUGUUUAGCUGUUUGGAUAGCUAGUCAGACUUCUAGCGAGGCCAUUUAUACAAGACAUACAUAUAUAUUUCUAACCACACUCUUUCCAGGAGCAUGCACAUUAUGUCCUGAGGUUAUUUAAUGGAUAUUGAAUCUUCUUUCAGAA